GAGAGAGAGAGAGAGCAUGUGGAUGUGAAAUUUGUUACUUUGCUGCUGCCACUGUUGCUCCCCGUUUCUUCUUCUUCCACUGGCGCCGCCGACUUUCUAAUCAAACAUUGCGAAAAACAUUCGAGCCAAGCGCAAACGCGCACACACACAACCCAGGAAUGAGUGCCGGCUAAACAAUUACAACGAACCACAACAAAAUAUUGCACAUAGUUGUCUGUUUGGCGAUGACGCAUUAGUUUGUGGUCAAAAAAACGACGAAUUUCGUACGCCACGGUUUAUAUUUACCUUGAAAUAUAGAGAUGGGAACACAACGAUGACAAUGUUGGAAUCGAUAAGCAAUUGGCGGAAAUCAAGAUGGCAACUCUCAAUAUAUUAGAGAUUAUGGCUGGCAGCCCCGGACUCGUGUAAAAUAUUAGGAUGGCAACACCCAACAUGUGUAGAAGUCUGUUUGGCAACUCAACAAAAGAGACCAUUUCCGCAAAAGUACGUUAUUUUCAAAUUGCCAUCAAGGUAAUGAAUAGAUUUGGACAAUACAUUUGAAAAACGUUUAUUUUCAUGUAAUAUUUUUUUAUUAAAAUGGAUACAUUUAUGAAUAUAGACUCAUAUAGCAAUAUAGCAAU
ensembl:ncRNA asRNA:CR45549 antisense RNA:CR45549